UUUCCUACGGGAGGCAGCAGUGAGGAAUAUUGGUCAAUGGGCGAGAGCCUGAACCAGCCAAGUCGCGUGAAGGAUGACGGCCCUACGGGUUGUAAACUUCUUUUGUCAGGGAGCAAUUGGGUCCACGCGUGGGCUUAGCGAGAGUACCUGAAGAAAAAGCAUCGGCUAACUCCGUGCCAGCAGCCGCGGUAAUACGGAGGAUGCGAGCGUUAUCCGGAUUUAUUGGGUUUAAAGGGUGCGUAGGCGGAAUAUCAAGUCAGCGGUAAAAUUGCGGGGCUCAACCCUGUCGAGCCGUUGAAACUGGC
rnacentral:rRNA from 1 species